CCUACGGGGUGCUGCAGUAGGGAAUCUUCCACAAUGGGCGAAAGCCUGAUGGAGCAACGCCGCGUGGGUGAAGAAGGUCUUCGGAUCGUAAAACCCUGUUGUUAGAGAAGAAAGUGCGUGAGAGUAACUGUUCACGUUUCGACGGUAUCUAACCAGAAAGCCACGGCUAACUACGUGCCAGCAGCCGCGGUAAUACGUAGGUGGCAAGCGUUAUCCGGAUUUAUUGGGCGUAAAGGGAACGCAGGCGGUCUUUUAAGGCUGAUGGGAAAGCCUUCGGCUUAACCGGAGUAGUGCAUUGGAAACUGGGAGACUUGAGUGCAGAAGAGGAGAGUGGAACUCGAGGUGUAGCGGUGAAAUGCGUAGAUAUUAGGAAGAACACCAGUGGCGAAGGCGGCUUACUGGACUGUAACUGACGUUGAGGCUCGAAAGCGUGGGGAGCAAACAGGAUUAGAUACCCCAGUAGUC
rnacentral:rRNA from 1 species